CCUACGGGAGGCAGCAGUGGGGAAUAUUGCACAAUGGGGGAAACCCUGAUGCAGCGACGCCGCGUGAGUGAAGAAGUAUUUCGGUAUGUAAAGCUCUAUCAGCAGGGAAGAAAAUGACGGUACCUGAUUAAGCAGCCACGGCUAACUACGUGCCAGCAGCCGCGGUAAAACGUAGGGGGCAAGCGUUAUCCGGAUUUACUGGGUGGAAAGGGAUCGUAGACGGCAGCACAAGUCUGGAGUGAAAUGCCUGGGCUUAACCCCGGAACUGCUUUGGAAACUGUGCAGCUAGAGUGCAGGAGAGGUAAGUGGAAUUCCUAGUGUAGCGGUGAAAUGCGUAGAUAUUAGGAGGAACACCAGUGGCGAAGGCGGCUUACUGGACUGUAACUGACGUUGAGGCUCGAAAGCGUGGGGAGCAAACAGGAUUAGAUACCCCGGUAGUC
rnacentral:rRNA from 1 species